GUCACAAGGAGGGACGCCUUACUUGAGAAUGUUGAUGGAAGGACGCGACCGACCCUCCGUCCACCCUGUUAUGACCAAAAUUGGUCAUGGUGUUGGAGGAGGGCGCGCCCUCUUCGGAGGUGACCGAGGGGUGCGGUCCUUGUAAGAAAUGGACCAUGAGAUGAAGACCAAGGGCGCGCCCUUAGCGGGACGAUCCCGUGGGCGCGGCCUUCGGAUAUUAGAAGACAUGUCUGACCUGUUGUUGGGACGACUCAUGGGACAAGACAACGAAGAUGAAGGGCGCGCCCUCAGGGGUCGCGCCCACAUGUGGACGCAUUGUGUGAGAGGAUGAGUGAGUCUCAGUGACGACCCUUCCGAGGG
rnacentral:lncRNA from 1 species